rnacentral:rRNA from 1 species
UACGUAGGGAGCAAGCGUUGUCCGGAAUCACUGGGCUUAAAGCGUGUGUAGGCGGAUCGUUAAGUACCUUGUGAAAUCCCACGGCUCAACCGUGGAACUGCUGGGUAUACUGGCGGUCUUGAGCCACCUAGGGGCAACUGGAACAAGCGGUGGAGCGGUGAAAUGCGUAGAUAUCGCUUGGAACGCCAACGGUGAAAACAGGUUGCUGGGGGGUGUGCUGACGCUGAGACACGAAAGCCAGGGGAGCGAACGGG